rnacentral:misc_RNA from 1 species
GACGGAGGGCGCAAGCGUUGUUCGGAAUCAUUGGGCGUAAAGCGUAUGCAGGCGGCCAGGCAAGUCUGGUGUGAAAUCCCGGGGCUCAACCCCGGAGUUGCAUUAGAAACUGUCUGGCUUGAGUCCGGGAAGGGCCAGUGGAAUUCCUGGUGUAGGGGUGAAAUCCGUAGAUAUCAGGAGGAACACCGGCGGCGAAGGCGACUGGCUGGACCGGAACUGACGCUGAGAUACGAAAGCGCGGGUAGCGAACAGG